AGUAAAAGUCGUAACAAGGUUUCCGUAGGUGAACCUGCGGAAGGAUCAUUAUUGAAUUCCAACUGGGUGAAAUUUGUUGCUGGCCUUUUGUGAGGCAUGUGCACAUUUCAUCUAUGUAAACCUUUUAUACCCCUGUGCACUUUUCAUAGAACAGCUUGCAGUCAUUGACCUCUUUGGUUGAUAUCGGCAGUUUGUUCUGUGUCAAUUCUUUACAGACUCAUUGUCAGUUAUGAAUGUUCAUUAUGUGUGCGCAUGCGCAUUGAAAUACAACUUUCAGCAACGGAUCUCUUGGCUCUCGCAUCGAUGAAGAACGCAGCGAAGUGCGAUAAGUAAUGUGAAUUGCAGAAUUCAGUGAAUCAUUGAAUCUUUGAACGCACCUUGCGCUCCUUGGUAUUCCGAGGAGCAUGCCUGUUUGAGUGUCAUGGUAUUCUCAAUUCCUUUGUUCUUGUUCGAACAAAGUGAUAUUGGACUUGGAGGCAUUUUGCUGGCGAUAACAAGUCAGCUCCUCUCAAAACUAUCAGCGUGAAGGGUCACCUUAUGCUCAGUGUGAUAAUUAUCUGCAUUGCGCUCGGUGCUACUUUUUCAGGCUUCGAAUCGUCUUCGGACAAUUUUAUUGACAUCUGACCUCAAAUCAGGUAGGACUACCCGCUGAACUUAAGCAUAUCAAUAAGCGGAGGA
rnacentral:rRNA from 1 species